UACGGGGGGAGCAAGCGUUGUUCGGAUUUACUGGGCGUAAAGGGCGCGUAGGCGGCCAGCACAAGUCAGUUGUGAAAUCUCCGAGCUUAACUCGGAAAGGUCAACUGAUACUGUGCGGCUAGAGUGCGGAAGGGGAGACUGGAAUUCCUGGUGUAGCGGUGAAAUGCGCAGAUAUCAGGAGGAACACCGGUGGCGAAGGCGGGUCUCUGGGCCGAUACUGACGCUGAGGAGCGAAAGCGUGGGGAGCGAACAGG
rnacentral:rRNA from 1 species